rnacentral:rRNA from 1 species
UACGUAGGGUGCGAGCGUUAAUCGGAAUUACUGGGCGUAAAGCGUGCGCAGGCUGUUAUGUAAGUCAGAUGUGAAAGCCCCAGGCUCAACCUGGGAACCGCAUUUGAAACUGCAUGGCUAGAGUGUGUUAGAGGGGGGUAGAAUUCCACGUGUAGCAGUGAAAUGCGUAGAUAUGUGGAGGAAUACCGAUGGCGAAGGCAGCCCCCUGGGAUAACACUGACGCUCAUGCACGAAAGCGUGGGGAGCAAACAGG